rnacentral:rRNA from 1 species
AGAGUUUGAUCCUGGCUCAGGAUGAACGCUAGCGACAGGCUUAACACAUGCAAGUCGAGGGGCAGCAUGAUUUGUAGCAAUACAGAUUGAUGGCGACCGGCGCACGGGUGAGUAACGCGUAUGCAACUUACCUAUCAGAGGGGGAUAGCCCGGCGAAAGUCGGAUUAAUACCCCAUAAAACAGGGGUCCCGCAUGGGAAUAUUUGUUAAAGAUUCAUCGCUGAUAGAUAGGCAUGCGUUCCAUUAGGCAGUUGGCGGGGUAACGGCCCACCAAACCGACGAUGGAUAGGGGUUCUGAGAGGAAGGUCCCCCACAUUGGUACUGAGACACGGACCAAACUCCUACGGGAGGCAGCAGUGAGGAAUAUUGGUCAAUGGGCGUAAGCCUGAACCAGCCAAGUCGCGUGAGGGAUGAAGGUUCUAUGGAUCGUAAACCUCUUUUAUAAGGGAAUAAAGUGCGGGACGUGUCCCGUUUUGUAUGUACCUUAUGAAUAAGGAUCGGCUAACUCCGUGCCAGCAGCCGCGGUAAUACGGAGGAUCCGAGCGUUAUCCGGAUUUAUUGGGUUUAAAGGGUGCGUAGGCGGCCUUUUAAGUCAGCGGUGAAAGUCUGUGGCUCAACCAUAGAAUUGCCGUUGAAACUGGGGGGCUUGAGUAUGUUUGAGGCAGGCGGAAUGCGUGGUGUAGCGGUGAAAUGCAUAGAUAUCACGCAGAACCCCGAUUGCGAAGGCAGCCUGCCAAGCCAUGACUGACGCUGAUGCACGAAAGCGUGGGGAUCAAACAGGAUUAGAUACCCUGGUAGUCCACGCAGUAAACGAUGAUCACUAGCUGUUUGCGAUACACUGUAAGCGGCACAGCGAAAGCGUUAAGUGAUCCACCUGGGGAGUACGCCGGCAACGGUGAAACUCAAAGGAAUUGACGGGGGCCCGCACAAGCGGAGGAACAUGUGGUUUAAUUCGAUGAUACGCGAGGAACCUUACCCGGGUUUGAACGCAUUCGGACCGAGGUGGAAACACCUUUUCUAGCAAUAGCCGUUUGCGAGGUGCUGCAUGGUUGUCGUCAGCUCGUGCCGUGAGGUGUCGGCUUAAGUGCCAUAACGAGCGCAACCCUUGCCACUAGUUACUAACAGGUUAGGCUGAGGACUCUGGUGGGACUGCCAGCGUAAGCUGCGAGGAAGGCGGGGAUGACGUCAAAUCAGCACGGCCCUUACAUCCGGGGCGACACACGUGUUACAAUGGCGUGGACAAAGGGAAGCCACCUGGCGACAGGGAGCGAAUCCCCAAACCACGUCUCAGUUCGGAUCGGAGUCUGCAACCCGACUCCGUGAAGCUGGAUUCGCUAGUAAUCGCGCAUCAGCCAUGGCGCGGUGAAUACGUUCCCGGGCCUUGUACACACCGCCCGUCAAGCCAUGGGAGCCGGGGGUACCUGAAGUCCGUAACCGCGAGGAUCGGCCUAGGGUAAAACUGGUGACUGGGGCUAAGUCGUAACAAGGUAGCCGUACCGGAAGGUGCGGCUG